rnacentral:tRNA from 1 species
AUUUAAAUAGUUUAAACAAAAACGUUGGCUUGUGGCGCCUAAGAUGUAAGUAAAUUACUUUAAAUA